GCGCCUGAAUUAAUUUCGGAGCAACAUCAUUGUUAAUGUCUAGUAUGUUGAUCUGUUAAGUGGUCGCUGUGGACUAGUGUGAGCUACAAUUAAAUGAAGAAUACUGUACCCUCCAAGGAUAUCCCCAGUUGCUCGCUAAUGGUCAUUAACGAGUUGAGUGAAUCUGAUGAGAAGAAGGAGGAGGACUUCUGUCUGAAACCCACUGUAUAAGCAGCCGCAUGGAAUGGCCAAGAAUUUGAGAAAACUAUAUCAAUGUGAAUUCAGAAAAACAGCUGUGGAAGAGGAUUUUGUGUAGCUCAAGGUGGCUGAAGGUGGUACCAAUGGCAAUGGACCAUCUGAGAGCUCCCAUAUUAACUAUGGCAUCUUUUGUGGAGUAGAGUGGUGUGGCUUGGAAGACAGUGGGCGAUUUGAAAGCAGCCUCUCUUUCUUAGAUUUGAUAAAAAAAUUUAUUCAGUGUGAUUGUGAAGAGAGUGCAAUAACAGAACUCUUAUGGAGAUGGCUGUCUUCUGGGUUAUAACUCCAUGAAGUCUGGUAGACGUUUACCAACAGUUCAGAGGUCCUUCAUUGCAUCAUCAGGACUCAUUGCCCUGAUGAUGGAUGCAGCAAGGAACUCUAAAAUGCUGGCAAGCUUCUACCUGACACAUGGCAGUACAAACCAGAAGACAGCCAUCUUCGGACUCACUGCUGCGUAAACUUCAAAUUCUACUUAUGCUCAGCAUGUGAUGGUCACUUACUGUUAAGGGAUUUUGCACCUUAUGUUCACUCAUCCAUGAACUACAAUGUACAUGUACAUCUAUAUAACACAACACAGUUACUAUAGUCUCAGUAUAAGACCAUAUUUGAGAUUAAACUACAUUACAUCA